AAGUUCAUAUAGGGGAGCUCUACUCGGCUGAGAGGUUAUUAAUUUAACGACCCUGAACCUGAUCUGGAUAAUGCCAGCGUAGGGAAUAAUUGAGUAUUUAUA
rnacentral:ncRNA from 2 species